rnacentral:rRNA from 1 species
UUUCCAGAGAUGGAUUGGUGCCUUCGGGAACUGUGAGACAGGUGCUGCAUGGCUGUCGUCAGCUCGUGUUGUGAAAUGUUGGGUUAAGUCCCGCAACGAGCGCAACCCUUAUCCUUUGUUGCCAGCGGUUAGGUCGGGAACUCAAAGGAGACUGCCAGUGAUAAACUGGAGGAAGGUGGGGAUGACGUCAAGUCAUCAUGGCCCUUACGACCAGGGCUACACACGUGCUACAAUGGCGCAUACAAAGAGAAGCGACCUCGCGAGAGCAAGCGGACCUCAUAAAGUGCGUCGUAGUCCGGAUUGGAGUCUGCAACUCGACUCCAUGAAGUCGGAAUCGCUAGUAAUCGUGGAUCAGAAUGCCACGGUGAAUACGUUCCCGGGCCUUGUACACACCGCCCGUCACACCAUGGGAGUGGGUUGCAAAAGAAGUAGGUAGCUUAACCUUCGGGAGGGCGCUUACCACUUUGUGAUUCAUGACUGGGGUGAAGUCGUAACAAGGUAACCGUAGGGGAACCUGCGGUUGGAUCACCUCCUUA